rnacentral:snRNA from 1 species
AUAUAUAAAAGAGGUGAGUUCAU